rnacentral:rRNA from 1 species
UACGUAGGGUGCUAGCGUUGUUCGGAAUCAUUGGGCGUAAAGCGCGUGUAGGUGGUUAAGUAAGUCGGGUGUGAAAUCCCUGGGCUCAACCGAGGAAGUGCAUUCGAAACUACUUAGCUAGAGGACGGUAGAGGAAGGUGGAAUUCCUAAUGUAGAGGUGAAAUUCGUAGAUAUUAGGAGGAAUACCGGUGGCGAAGGCGGCCUUCUGGGCCGGUUCUGACACUGAGACGCGAAAGCGUGGGUAGCAAACAGG